rnacentral:rRNA from 1 species
GACGGACGCUGGCGGCGUGCUUAACACAUGCCAGUCGAACGGAAAGGCCCCAGCUUGCUGGGGUACUCGAGUGGCGAACGGGUGAGUAACACGUGUGUGAUCUGCCCUGCACUCUGGGAUAAGCCUGGGAAACUGGGUCUAAUACCGGAUAGGACCGUGCUUUAGUUUGUGCGGUGGAAAGUUUUUCGGUGCAGGAUGAGCCCGCGGCCUAUCAGCUUGUUGGUGGGGUAAUGGCCUACCAAGGCGGCGACGGGUAGCCGGCCUGAGAGGGUGUACGGCCACAUUGGGACUGAGACACGGCCCAGACUCCUACGGGAGGCAGCAGUGGGGAAUAUUGCACAAUGGGCGCAAGCCUGAUGCAGCGACGCCGCGUGGGGGAUGACGGCCUUCGGGUUGUAAACCACUUUCGGCAGGGACGAAGCUUUUGUGACGGUACCUGCAUAAGAAGCACCGGCUAACUACGUG